AAUAAUACAUCAAUUUUAACAUGGUAUCAGAGCAGGUUUAGAACCUAGUAUUUUCGCUUCACCGGCAGGCAGCAACCUCACAUUGGCCGCCCGCCAGACCUCAACCUAAUCCGCUAGAAUUUUCUACACAUACCUUGAAAUUUAUUCGAGUCCACCACCACUGCCCCUCCUCUCACUGUUGUCCUCCCAUACACCACCGUCUCGGUCGUCUUCAUCUACCACCACUGUUGACCUUAACCCGUCGCUUCAGUCCCUUCACUCUGAUCAACGGCUGGACACACACACACUGCCGGCACCAUCGCAGCCACCUUCGGCAUGGCCAACCUCAUCACUCGCCCCUUCGGCGGCUUCGCUUCCGACUACUCCGCCAGAUUCUUCGGCAUGAGAGGUCGCCUAUGGACCCUCUGGAUCCUCCAAACACUCGGCGGACUCUUCUUCUUCCCUGUUUCCUCAUCUGUGAUCCGCUGGAAAUCCAGGUUCAGAUGCUUGAAAUUGCGAGUCAGCUUCCCUCUAGGUCCCUCCACUUCGAUCAUCUUCGCCUUCACUUUGAUCUUCACCCCAUCUGGGAUGUCCAUGGUCUCCGACGACAAAAUCAUCUUCAUCUCGCACUCUCUCUCUCUCUCUCUGUG